rnacentral:rRNA from 1 species
CGGAAUCGCUAGUAAUCGUGGAUCAGAAUGCCACGGUGAAUACGUUCCCGGGCCUUGUACACACCGCCCGUCACACCAUGGGAGUGGGCUGCAAAAGAAGUAGGUAGUUUAACCUUCGGGGGGACGCUUACCACUUUGUGGUUCAUGACUGGGGUGAAGUCGUAACAAGGUAGCGCUAGGGGAACCUGGCGCUGGAUCACCUCCUUAAACGAUGAU